AUUGCACAGAGGCCUGUUUUUUGCUUUCCCAGUGGGAGUGGCAACAGAAUCCUGGACCUUUGCCACACUGGUUGUGCAAUUCAGAUCACAGUACUUAUAGAGACGGGAUGGUCAGUGCACCAGCAUACUAAUGCAUCCGAUUACUAGACUGGCCAUUGUUAGCAUUUUAUAAAUUAAAGCAAACCCACGAUUUAGUGUCGGAAAAUACCACUCCAUGUGAUUUUAUGAUUGAAGCAUAACUUCACCCCUGACUUCUAAAGGAUAGUUUGGUUAACUCACAGUUCAAGUUUUUAGCUUCUCUAACAGCAGCGUUGACUUUGAAGUUCUCAAACAAGGUAUUAGAAAAAAGACAAACAUUUUCUAGGCAUUUUUUUUCCUCCCCUGCAGCCCAUGAGUAUGCAAGUCGAUGGUUUUCAGUUGUGCAUAAAAAAAAAAAAUCUCUUUGCACGGACAUUAAGAGGAAGAAUAACUUCCAGUUAAAGGGCAACAAGUAACCUUGAUGAGACCAUAGAGUUAUUCUGGGUUUAGCUUUCAUCUAAAAACUGGAUGAAAAGAAGAAUGUUUCAUGGGAAGGGAGGGGAAACUCCAGAACUGCCAUUUUUCUUUCUGGGAAAGCUGUAGAAGCACCACGUUAAAAUUACAAUUUUGACUAAGAUAUCCUCACCCAACAAACCAAAGACAACCAACAACCAAAACACCCAAUGUCUUAAAAAUCAGAGUUCUUCUAGCAAUACAGAAUCAGUGCCUUUUAGUAUCACUGCAUUUCUCUGAUGUAGAAAGCAAGGAACACCAGCUAAAUGAAGCACAAUCAGAUCUGCAAUCAAAUGCAGAACUUUGGCCUUUGGCAUCUCUCAAAAAUGAAAGUGACUACUUUUUCAGGCAGAAGGGAAGAAGCAGGAAAAAAAGAAAAAAAAAGAAAAACCAAAACACAAAGAAACAUCACAACCUCAUUGUUAACUCUCCUUCUUACACAAUCAAUGCAACAAGAAUUCUCCAGAGGCUUCGCAGCACAGCUGAAAAUCUGUCCUGUAAUACAUGCAAGACCACAGCUCAAAACGUCAGAACUGCACUGGCAAUGAUCUGGGCUUGAUCUUUUUGACUUAUACCACAGUAAACCAAAUUGAAUUACAUGGAAUGAAACAAAAUUUCUUGAGUUCUAAAUCAGUACCCUUUUAGAACAAAUAUUGAUGAAAUUAUCCCACUGGUUGGACAGAAGGAUUCAAUACUUUCGGUGAUAAUUUCUUUGAACCAAAGGUUUUGGAUAUAGGGCAUAGGAUAAUAUUGUUUUAAAUAAAGUUAUAUUCAGUCUGUCAUUCUAGAGAAGCUGGAUGUACUGAAAU
ensembl:lncRNA